rnacentral:lncRNA from 1 species
AACUCUUAGAAGUCACUAUGGUGACGGGGAGGUACCAGGUAUUUGAGAGCAAUCGCCACCGCUUUCCUGGAACUUGAGUAAAUACAAUCAAGUGGCAUCUUAAAUUUUUGCUGGAAGUGGAGUCAUGAGACUAAAGAUAUCUCUUUUAAAAGAACCAAAGCAUCAAGAAUUAGUAAGCUGUGUGGGCUGGACUACUGCUGAAGAGCUGUAUUCAUGUAGUGAUGAUCACCAGAUAGUGAAGUGGAACUUGUUAACCAGUGAAACAACUCAAAUAGUAAAGCUUCCUGAUGAUAUUUACCCUAUUGAUUUUCACUGGUUUCCAAAAAGUUUGGGUGUAAAGAAACAAACCCAGGCAGAAAGCUUUGUCCUCACAAGUUCUGAUGGUAAAUUUCAUCUGAUUUCCAAGUUAGGAAGAGUGGAAAAAAGUGUAGAAGCUCACUGUGGAGCAGUACUUGCAGGAAGAUGGAAUUAUGAAGGAACAGCAUUAGUUACAGUUGGAGAAGAUGGACAAAUAAAAAUUUGGUCAAAGACUGGGAUGCUUAGAUCAACUUUAGCUCAGCAAGUGGAAAGCUCAUGAUGGCAUUAUUUUAAAAGUAGAUUGGAACUCGGUCAAUGAUCUUAUUUUAUCUGCUGGUGAAGACUGUAAAUAUAAGGUAU